UACAGGGGGGGCAAGCGUUGUUCGGAAUUACUGGGCGUAAAGGGCUUGUAGGUGGCCAACUAAGUCACACGUGAAAUCCCCAGGCUUAACCUGGGAACUGCGUGUGAUACUGGAUGGCUUGAAUCCGGGAGAGGGAUGCGGAAUUCCAGGUGUAGCGGUGAAAUGCGUAGAUAUCUGGAGGAACACCGGUGGCGAAGGCGGCAUCCUGGACCGGUAUUGACACUGAAAAGCGAAAGCCAGGGGAGCAAACAGG
rnacentral:rRNA from 1 species